GGGGAUAUGGCGAAAUCGGUAGACGCUACGGACUNNAAAAAUCCGUCGACUUUAAAAAUCGUGAGGGUUCAAGUCCCUCUAUCCCCA
rnacentral:tRNA from 1 species